rnacentral:rRNA from 1 species
GUCCGCAAGGAUGAGUAAAGUGGCGUACGGGUGAGUAACACGUGGAUCAUCUACCUCUCAGUGGGGAAUAACCCUGGGAAACCGGGGCUAAUACCGCAUAAGCCUGCGAAGGGAAAGCAGCAAUGCGCUGAGAGAGGAGUCCGCGGCCGAUUAGCUAGUUGGUAGGGUAAUGGCCUACCAAGGCAAUGAUCGGUAGCCGGCCUGAGAGGGCACACGGCCACACUGGCACUGAAACACGGGCCAGACUCCUACGGGAGGCAGCAGUGGGGAAUCUUGCACAAUGGAGGAAACUCUGAUGCAGCGACGCCGCGUGAGCGAUGAAGCCCUUCGGGGUGUAAAGCUCUUUCGACGGGAACGAUAAUGACGGUACCCGGAGAAGAAGCUGCGGCUAACUACGUGCCAGCAGCCGCGGUAAUACGUAGGCAGCAAGCGUUGUUCGGAAUUACUGGGCGUAAAGAGUGUGUAGGCGGUUCUCUAUGUUCGGUGUGAAAUCUCCCGGCUUAACUGGGAGGGUGCGCCGAAAACUGGAGGGCUUGAGUAUGGGAGAGGAAAGCGGAAUUCCUGGUGUAGCGGUGAAAUGCGUAGAUAUCAGGAGGAACACCUGCGGUGUAGACGGCUUUCUGGACCAUCACUGACGCUGAGACACGAAAGCGUGGGUAGCAAACAGGAUUAGAUACCCUGGUAGUCCACGCCCUAAACGAUGCAUACUUGGGUGUGAGCCGUUCAUUCGGUUCGUGCCGG